rnacentral:rRNA from 1 species
GACGAACGCUGGCGGCGUGCUUAACACAUGCAAGUCGAACGGAGUGGCGAACGGGUGAGUAACACGUGGGUGAUCUGCCUUGCACUUCGGGAUAAGCUUGGGAAACUGGGUCUAAUACCGGAUAGUGCAAGAUUAGCUCGCGGCCUAUCGGCUUGGUGGUGGGGUAAUGGCCUACCAAGGCGUCGACGGGUAGCCGGCCUGAGAGGGUGUACGGCCACAUUGGGACUGAGAUACGGAGCAGAGUCGUACGGGAGGCAGCAGGGGGGAGUAUGGCACAAUGGUCGGAAGCCUGAUGCAGCGACGCCGGGUGGGGGAUGAAGGCCUUCUGGUUGGAAACUCCUUUCGACGGGGACGCGGUACCUGUAUAAGAAGCACCGGCUAACUACGUGCCAGCAGCCGCGGUAAUUC